rnacentral:rRNA from 1 species
UGGGCAAUAUUGGACAAUGGGGGGAACCCUGAUCCAGCCAUGCCGCGUGUGUGAAGAAGGUCUUCGGAUUGUAAAGCACUUUAAGUUGGGAGGAAGGGCAGUAAGCGAAUACCUUGCUGUUUUGACGUUACCGACAGAAUAAGCACCGGCUAACUCUGUGCCAGCAGCCGCGGUAAUACAGAGGGUGCAAGCGUUAAUCGGAAUUACUGGGCGUAAAGCGUGCGUAGGCGGCUGAUUAAGUCGGAUGUGAAAUCCCUGAGCUUAACUUGGGAAUUGCAUUCGAUACUGGUUAGCUAGAGUGUGGGAGAGGAUGGUAGAAUUCCAGGUGUAGCGGUGAAAUGCGUAGAGAUCUGGAGGAAUACCGAUGGCGAAGGCAGCCAUCUGGCCUAACACUGACGCUGAGGUACGAAAGCAUGGGGAGCAAACAGG